rnacentral:tRNA from 1 species
GCCGUUUGGAUGGUUCCAGUGAGGGCUCAUUUCCCUCGAUCCAGAAAGUUCGAUUCUUUUAAACGGC